CUGCGUCCCUUGUUUUAAACAAUACCAUUUCCAUGCAUGUUUAAUCAUUCCAGAUGUACAGCCAGCUACACGGGGAGCAACUGUGACAUAGUUCUUCCGCUGUCAAUGAUUGAAACCAGCACAGCUACCGGUAGAUCCUUUACCCAUAGUGCAUCUUCCACCGUGACACGUAGAAGAAGUCUCGGUCCUAUCGACACUGGUCUGAGUAAAGCCACUAUCAUCGCUGUCGCAACUGCGUCAGUGGUCACUCUCAUCCUUGCUGGAAUUGUUGCUGUCGUUGUCGUCGUGACCAAGAAAUGGGGCAAGACAAAAGUUGUUCCGUCCAGUCCACAUAGUGAAGGUCAGCUGCUAUCAGGACCGGGUCACUAAUUAUUGCUCGUGUGAUGUACUUUGGCUAAAUUAAAUGACAAAUUGGCACUCGGAAGGACUCAAUAUUUUCCUUAAAGUGCAACUUUCAAGUUGUGUUUUUGAAAGUCUAAGAGACACGCUUGGGAAGUUGUUAGCCAUAGGCAAUAAAUGCAGAUGCGCGUCUACAUCGCAUGCAUUAGUUGUAGGUCGAAUGUUCGUUGAUAAGUCUCAACGAUUCCCGAUUUUGACUUCAAUUACCGAUUUGGAAGGUUUGGUAUGACUCUGUUUGACGUGAAGUUGACCUUUUGAUGUUUAGAUUCGUGGGGAACCAUACCUUUAAAUUUUGAAAAGUUUGAAAGUUUUUGUUUCUCUUUAGUUUGUCAAAAAAGUGUGACAAAAUUAGCCUUGGAUGGUAUUCAUGUGAAUGAUGUGUGAUUUUUGCUGCCGCACCAUUGCAUACUUGUUGUCUUAGACACGAACAUUACCAUUGGUCCUAUACUGGAGCUGUCAUAAAUUGGACUGAGUUAUCAGAGUAGGUGUGCAUAUGAUUAUUGAUGUAAUUAUUUUGAAUUGGUGUUUUUGGACACAGCAUACUUGAGCAGAUCUCCUCGGUUUUUUUUAGAGUUGAAAAGGUUUUGGGUGAUUUCCGGGCAGGGGCAGACCUUCGCUUUGAGGAGCCCCAACCCUCUUUUAGCCUAACUCCAGCAGAUUUAACCUCUUAAUAUUACAGAAAAUAUACUUUAAAAAUACAUACGUGAAAUCACUUUAACAUCUGGAUGCCCUUUUAAAAAUCAUGAAAAGUGACAGUGCAUUUUUAAGAGAUUUUUAUUUCGAUAAGGCAUGAAAACAACAGGUUUGUAACUUAGUUUUAAACUGCAACAAAUAAGAACUAUAACAGGAAGAAGGCUUCUCAGAAAUGUAUCAUUUUAUCAAGCACAUCAUAGAGUAAAUUGAGUUUGUUUCUUUGUGAAGUCUUUCAUUACUGUGGGAAGAAAAGCAGAUAUCUAUGAAAAGGUGAUAAACCUUUCAAUUGAAACCACACUGUUUAAUUCAUCAAGUUCAUAUCGUUGGCCCAUUAUUUUGAGAUUACCUCAUUCGGUACACUCAGUGUACAUGAGGGAGAGAUUAUCGUAUUGAGAGCAUCGCAAAACGGUCCCCAACAAUAAACGGUCAUAAUGGACAUUAUUUGAUAUUGGCGAAAGCACGGACGCCAGGAAAGUAGGAUCGUGUUCAACUUUUGCCGACUGUCUACGCCGAUUCAAGCACGCAUGGUGAUAUGACCGGCGCACGACGUCCUUGCUUAAAUACCUAUUUUCUCCUGAAUCAGAUAUGAAACCAAAACUGUUAAUUAAUUUAGCUGACAACAAGUGCAACACAACGAAGCACCAGUUUAGACCACGUAAGAACAUCAAUGGCUCAAACUUACCACGUUAUCUCGUUCAGUGCAGCUUUUCUGUUUGCUUGUGUUUUGUUGUUGCUGCUGCUUUUGUUAUUCAUAAAAAUUAUAAUUCAUUUAUCGGGUGAAACAAUUUUGUUCUCAAACCUGUAAAUAAAGAGUGCAGUCCCUAUA